GAGAAGAACGUAGCGAAAUGCGAUAAGUAAUGUGAAUUGCAGAAUUCAGUGAAUCAUCGAAUCUUUGAACGCAUCUUGCGCUCCUUGGUAUUCUGAGGAGCAUGCCUGUUUGAGUGUCAUUAAAUUCUCAACCGCACUGACUUUGAAUUGGUGUGGCUUGGAUUUGGGGGGAAAAUUGUUGUGGGCUUUUUUGUAUAGUCUGCUCCCCUGAAAUUGAUUAGCGGUACCUUUGUGGAACUGUCUACAGGUGUGAUAAUUAUCUACAUCCUAGACAUCUGCUGGAAUGCUGCUUUCUAAACCUUACUUGUAUUGACAAUCUUGACCUCAAAUCAGGUAGGACUACCCGCUGAACUUAAGCAUAUCAAUAAGCGGAGGA
rnacentral:misc_RNA from 1 species